CUCAGGUGGGUCUGGCUCCAAUUUGCAGAUUCCAAACCUGCCUCACAUUUCUCUUAUUUGAUGCAAGAGAGCCAGAGCAUGUUCUUCUCACGGCAAUGGCAGAAAAGUGAAAGUUGGUUACUAUGGAGAUCAUGACAUCAGUCAUCUUGACUAAGCUUAAUGGUCUUGAGGCAACAUUCAGACUAAAAGUUUUGAUACUUAAAGUGGCUCAACCCUGGAGAAUGAGAGCAGAUUGAGAACUGAGGACUGUGGGCUUCAAGCUGCUUCUCUAAUGGAACACAGAGGUGAAAGGCAGUCCCUGCCCACUCGACCAAGGCCACGUGGGGCAGCCCUUUGGGAGGACCGCGCCCCCGGCUAACCAGGCAGAUAACGGGUUGCAAGAAGGUUUUUUGAGUCUGAAAAGCCUGACUGUUAUGCAUCAAAAGUCAAAGUUGAUGCUUCCAAUGACAGAUGCAGAAGAACACAUGGGGACAGCGAGCCCACUGUCUGAGGACCAGGAGGAGGAAAGCCAGAGGGGAAGAAGGAGAAAUCAGUGCAGCGCAGCCCUCUCCUUCCUCUGGCUAAGGCCAGGAAAGUGGAAGGAAGGGGGCAGGAUCCCUACAAAGAUUUUGGAGAAUACAGGAAGGAGACUGCCUCACAAGGGAGACUCUACUGCCACCUUGUCCUGGGAAGAGUCCAGUGGAGAUGGCUGAGGGAACUUCCUGGAUGAGGAAGGAAAUGAGGCAGCAAUGAGCUUCUGAAAGCCCAAAGCAAGGAAAGCGGAGAGGAAGAGAGCACGUAGCUCCAGGGAACACAAGGCCACACUCAGACUGGCCUCAAGGCUGUGAGGAUGGGAUUCUUCUGCAGCAAGCAGUGAGGGCUGCGGGGGCCUGGAUGCCAGGACAAGGGGUGACUUUGCCUGAGGACAAAAGCUGAUGUUCUGAACUCAGGAUUCCUGUGAGGACAGGCACUACCCAAGCAGCAGGUACCUCCCCUCCCAGCCUCCUCCCCGCCUGCCACGAUGCCAUGACAUUCCAUGUCCAUGAGCUCCUGAGAACUUGGAUGUCUUUCCUACCUGCCUAAAAACAUGAAAGAAGAAAUCUCCCAAAUGGACUCAAUGUAAACAUUAAAUGAUUAAAUUUACCCAGAAUUGAUGGAGGUUACUUUUACUCCCAUCAGGUGGAAUAAAGGCUCAAAGCAGAGACUCAGCUCAAUUAGAAAAAAAUAGGAAAAUAAAAGAUGUAUCCUUUUGCACACCUGGUUACUUGUCUUAAAAAUCUGUAUCUGACAUAAAAAAGAGGGUUUGUUGUAUAUCUCUGUACUCUGUAUGUUGCUUAGAUAAAGCAACAUAUUGCCAAGAGAAAUCAUCUUUUUCAAUUCAGGAAUCACAAGUUUUCAUUUUCAAAUUCUAAAACUUUAUGCUUUUUGAUUAAAGAGAUAGUAACUUUACCUUUGACUGAGCAAUACCAUUUCCAGGAAUUUGUUCAAAGGAAAUCAAAACAAAUGUGCUGAAAAAUAAUAAG
rnacentral:lncRNA from 1 species